rnacentral:rRNA from 1 species
AGAUUGAACGCUGGCGGCGUGCCUAACACAUGCAAGUCGAGCGGUAACAGGUGUAGCAAUACAUGCUGACGAGCGGCGGACGGGUGAGUAACGCUUGGGAAUCUGCCUGUUAGUGGGGGACAACCCGGGGAAACUCGGGCUAAUACCGCAUACGCACUACGGUGGAAAGCCGGGGACCGCAAGGCCUGGCGCUAACAGAUGAGCCCAAGUCGGAUUAGCUAGUUGGUAGGGUAACGGCCUACCAAGGCGACGAUCCGUAACUGGUCUGAGAGGACGACCAGUCACACCGGAACUGAGACACGGUCCGGACUCCUACGGGAGGCAGCAGUGGGGAAUAUUGGACAAUGGGCGAAAGCCUGAUCCAGCGACGCCGCGUGGGUGAAGAAGGCCUGCGGGUUGUAAAGCCUUUCAGUGGGGAAGAAAGCCUCGAGCUAACAUCUCGGGUCUUGACGUAACCAUAGAAGAAGCACCGGCUAACUCUGUGCCAGCAGCCGC